GACAGAGGUGCCAAGCGUUAGGCGGAAUCACUGGGCUUAAAGCGUGUGUAGGCGGGUGCCUAAGUACCUUGUGAAAUCCCUCGGCUCAACCGAGGAACUGCGCCCAAAACUGUCGUGCUCGAGGGAGACAGAGGUGAGCGGAACUUAGGGUGGAGCGGUGAAAUGCGUUGAUAUCCUAAGGAACACCGGUGGCGAAAGCGGCUCACUGGGUCUCUUCUGACGCUGAGGCACGAAAGCUAGGGUAGCGAACGGG
rnacentral:rRNA from 1 species